rnacentral:tRNA from 1 species
CCUCUUCUAGUUUAGUGGUUGAACAUUGGUGCGUAAAGCCAAAGGUCCCGGGUUCGAUUCCCGGUGGGGGUG